GGGGACUUAGCUCAGUGGUAGAGCGCUUGCCUAGCAAGCACAAGGCUCUGGGUUCGGUCCCCAGCUCCA
rnacentral:tRNA from 1 species